GUGAAAUUCUUAGCUUGGACCUGAGGUAGCAAAUAGGAUUUCUCUAUGGCACGCGUGGUGACGUGAGGAGUUCUUCAUCAUGGGGUGUAUGGCGUGGGGCAAUCCUAUGGACGAUAAAACGAUCAACGUAGAACGCCAUUUAAAUUAUGUUUUGUUUUAAGGGACUUUUUCCUAAAUUAUCAGUGGGACUCUGUUAUUUAACUUAAUUGGUUUUCUUUGAACUUUGCAUAAAAACCUAUGUUUUAUUUUAAA